CGUGCGUGCGCAGACUUCCCUGCAGCGUGCGUGCGCAGACUUCCCUGCAGCGUGCACGCGCAGACUUCCCUGCGGCGUGCGUGCGUACUUCUCUGCGGCGUGCGUGCAUACUUCCCUGCGGCGUGCGUGCGUGCUUCCCUGCGGUGUGCGCAGACUUCCCUGCGGCGUGCGUGCGCAGACUUCCCUGCGGCGUGCGUGCGCAGACUUCCCUGCGGCGUG